CACGCCGUAAACGAUGAGUACUAGGUGUAGGGGGUAUCGACCCCCCCUGUGCCGCAGUAAACACAAUAAGUACUCCGCCUGGGAAGUACGAUCGCAAGAUUAAAACUCAAAGGAAUUGACGGGGACCCGCACAAGCAGCGGAGCAUGUGGUUUAAUUCGAAGCAACGCGAAGAACCUUACCUGGACUUGACAUCCCCUGCAUAUCUCAGAGAUGAGAGAAGCCCUUCGGGGCAGGGAGACAGGUGG
rnacentral:rRNA from 1 species